rnacentral:lncRNA from 1 species
CAGCCACCAGUGCUCCCAGCCUGCUUCCGUGUGCUUUGAGUCUCCACAGACGCCACAGCCAAGUGAAGAAGAUCUUUGCAUGAACACGACCUUUCAGCUGGUGAAUCAGAUGACCAGAAAAAUUCCCCACAUCAGUUUUCUUUAUGGAGUGACCUACACACCGAGAAGAGCCGCUCAGCUCUCAAAACUGCUGUCAUGUAGAUACCUACGUGGAUAAACAAGUAAUGUUUCCACAAAACACCGCAGGUUAGGGCCUCUGCUCAUGGCAGGAUAGAGAAGGCAAAAUAAAGAGGGGGCUUUGGACUGUUGGUUUUGCGUCAUGUAAGCUUUUUUAGUGACCUUUAAUGGGGAGAGAGACUAGAUGCUGAGUUUAAUCACGUAAGACCAGCUCAAGACAAACGGCGCAGUUUUGUUUCCUGUCUGGAAAGAAAAAAAAAAAUUACUCAUGCACUAACAGGAACUGAACGCUGAACACUCCUUUGGUGCUAGAUUUAUUGGAGGAUUUGACGACAAGAAUUUGCUUGCAGUUUUCCACCUUCCCUGUGCUAUUUUCUUAGCCAGUCAUUUUGAAUACCCCUUCCCCAUCUUUAUCCCCC